rnacentral:lncRNA from 1 species
AGGAAAUACAUAGCAUGUUUUGAAUGGGUCCAGGGUAUUACCUGGUACACAGGGUGUCCCCAGUAAAAGAAAUGAAACAUGCUGAAAUUCAAGAGCUGGGCAUGAAUGGCUAUCUGUGUGACUCCCCAGUGCAGAGCCACCUCCACAAAGUGAGACAGGCUGGUCACGGGGUGCCUUAGCCUUCUGAAAGUGACCUGUCCCUCUCCAGCAAGAAAACAAGAACAUGUUGCCUCUAAGCUACCCCGAGUGCCUUCUGAGUUUUCCUGACUCCCUCAAAAACAGUAAGAAAAUUGAAAACUGCCAUCUUCCCAUGGUGAGAAAAUAGGCUCCAUUUGGACUUUUCUCAGGACUUUAAACUGUUGGAAUUUUUUAUCAGAUGCUGUUCUUGUUACUACCCUUUUUGAAAUAAAAAUUUUA